rnacentral:rRNA from 1 species
GUGGGGAAUAUUGGACAAUGGGCGAAAGCCUGAUCCAGUCAUGCCGCGUGUGUGAAGAAGGUCUUCGGAUUGUAAAGCACUUUAAGUUGGGAGGAAGGGCAUUAACCUAAUACGUUAGUGUUUUGACGUUACCGACAGAAUAAGCACCGGCUAACUUCGUGCCAGCAGCCGCGGUAAUACGAAGGGUGCAAGCGUUAAUCGGAAUUACUGGGCGUAAAGCGCGCGUAGGUGGUUCGUUAAGUUGGAUGUGAAAGCCCCGGGCUCAACCUGGGAACUGCAUCCAAAACUGGCGAGCUAGAGUACGGUAGAGGGUGGUGGAAUUUCCUGUGUAGCGGUGAAAUGCGUAGAUAUAGGAAGGAACACCAGUGGCGAAGGCGACCACCUGGACUGAUACUGACACUGAGGUGCGAAAGCGUGGGGAGCAAACAGGAUUAGAAACCCGUGUAGUCC